UACGGGGGGGGCAAGCGUUGUUCGGAAUUACUGGGCGUAAAGGGCGCGUAGGCGGCCUGCUAAGUCACACGUGAAAUCCCCCGGCUCAACCGGGGAACUGCGUGUGAUACUGGCGGGCUUGAAUUCGGGAGAGGGAUGUGGAAUUCCAGGUGUAGCGGUGAAAUGCGUAGAUAUCUGGAGGAACACCGGUGGCGAAGGCGGCGUUCUGGACUGCAACUGACACUGAUGAACGAAAGCCAGGGGAGCAAACGGG
rnacentral:rRNA from 1 species